GCCUUCGUGGUGUAAUGGUCAGCACACUGAGCCGGUAUUUCACAGGUCCGUGUUUCGAUUCCCGGCGAAUGCA
rnacentral:tRNA from 1 species